rnacentral:rRNA from 1 species
GAUGAACGCUGGCGGCGUGCCUAAUACAUGCAAGUCGAGCGAACAGACGAGGAGCUUGCUCCUCUGACGUUAGCGGCGGACGGGUGAGUAACACGUGGAUAACCUACCUAUAAGACUGGGAUAACUUCGGGAAACCGGAGCUAAUACCGGAUAAUAUAUUGAACCGCAUGGUUCAAUAGUGAAAGACGGUUUUGCUGUCACUUAUAGAUGGAUCCGCGCCGCAUUAGCUAGUUGGUAAGGUAACGGCUUACCAAGGCAACGAUGCGUAGCCGACCUGAGAGAGUGAUCGGCCACCCUGGAACUGAGACACGGUCCAGACGCCUACGGGAGGCAGCAGUAGGGAAUCUUCCGCAAUGGGCGAAAGCCUGACGGAGCAACGCCGCGUGAGUGAUGAAGGUCUUCGGAUCGUAAAACUCUGUUAUUGGGGAAGAACAAAUGUGGAAGUAACUAUGCACGUCUUGACGGUACCUAAUCAGAAAGCCACGGCUAACUACGUG